rnacentral:rRNA from 1 species
CCUACGGGAGGCAGCAGUAGGGAAUAUUGCUCAAUGGGGGAAACCCUGAAGCAGCAACGCCGCGUGGAGGAUGAAGGUUUUCGGAUUGUAAACUCCUUUUGUUAGAGAAGAUAAUGACGGUAUCUAACGAAUAAGCACCGACGAACUCCGUGCCAGCAGCCGCGGUCAUACGGAGGGUGCAAGCGUUACUCGGAAUCACUGGGCGUACAGUGCGCGGAGGCGGGAUAGCAAGUCAGAGGUGAAAUCCUAUGGCUUAACCAUAGAACUGCAUUUGAAACUGUUAUUCUAGAGUAUGGGAGAGGUAGGUGGAAUUCUUGGUGUAGGGGUAAAAUCCGUAGAGAUCAAGAGGAAUACUCAUUGCGAAGGCGACCUGCUAGAACAUAACUGACGCUGAUGCGCGAAAGCGUGGGGAGCAAACAGGAUUAGAUACCCGGGUAGUC